rnacentral:RNase_P_RNA from 1 species
GCAGCAAGCCAGACGACCGCUCACCUUCGCGCCUCCGGCGCUACGGCGCAGCAAGCUCGCAGGGGUUUGCUGCGCGGAGAUGAGAGGAAAGUCCGAACUCCGCAGGGCAGUGCGCCGGGUAACGCCCGGUCAGGGCAACUUGAAGGAAAGUGGCACAGAAAAUAUACCGCCCGCCGUCGCACGCUCCGCGUGCUACGGCGCGGCAGGCACCCCAGGGAGCUUGCUGCGCCGAAGCCAGGAGGGCGAAGGCGGGUAAGGGUGAAAAGGUGCGGUAAGAGCGCACCGCGCCCGUGGUAACACGGGUGGCAGGCAAAACCCCGCACGGAGCAAGACCAAAUAGGGUGGCGGCUGCCGCCGGGCGCUCAACACGCCGGGCGGUGGCGCAGACGGCCCGUCUGUAGGGCCACCGGGUAGGUCGCUGGACCCCGCCAGCAAUGGCGGGGCAAGAGGAAUGGUCGUCGCCCGCCGCAGCCGUCAGGGCGACCGGGGGGAGACAGAAUUCGGCUUACGGCCGGCUGCGACA